rnacentral:rRNA from 1 species
GAUGAACGCUGGCGGCGUGCCUAAUACAUGCAAGUCGAGCGAAUGGAUUAAGAGCUUGCUCUUAUGAAGUUAGCGGCGGACGGGUGAGUAACACGUGGGUAACCUGCCCAUAAGACUGGGAUAACUCCGGGAAACCGGGGCUAAUACCGGAUAACAUUUUGAACCGCAUGGUUCGAAAUUGAAAGGCGGCUUCGGCUGUCACUUAUGGAUGGACCCGCGUCGCAUUAGCUAGUUGGUGAGGUAACGGCUCACCAAGGCAACGAUGCGUAGCCGACCUGAUAGGGUGAUCGGCCACACUGGGACUGAGACACGGCCCAGACUCCUACGGGAGGCAGCAGUAGGGAACCUUCCGCAAUGGACGAAAGUCUGACGGAGCAACGCCGCGUGAGUGAUGAAGGCUUUCGGGUCGUAAAACUCUGUUGUUAGGGAAGAACAAGUGCUAGUUGGAUAAGCUGGCACCUUGACGGUACCUAACCAGAAAGCCACGGCUAACUACGUGCCAGCCGCCGCAGUAA